rnacentral:lncRNA from 1 species
UUCCCCAAACCUUAUUAACACAUGUAUAAACACUGAAAAUGAGAGAAAACAUGGAAUCUUUGUCUGAGAUUGGGCUCCACUUCCAUCCAUUUUCCUGAAAAUUUCCCAAUUUCGUUUUUCAUAACAGCUGAAUAAAACUCUAUUAUUGAUGCAUUCAACAUUUUCAUUAUCCGUUCUUCUGCUUAAGGACGUCUAGUCUGGUUCCAUUCCCCUGCAGUUGUGAAUAGUGCAACAGUGAGCAUGAGUGUGUCAGGAUCUAGAGUCCUUGGAAUGUAUGCCCAAGAGUUUGGGUCAUAUGUUAGCUCUAUAUUUAUGUUUUUGUUUAUUUUGAGGGGGUGAUGGAUUGAGAUAGUCUCUAUGUAGCCCUGGAUUUCUUACAGCUCAUUAUGUAGACCAAGCUGGCCUCAAACUCAUGGAUAUCUUCUCCCAUCUGCCUCCCAAGUACUAGAAUUAAAGGUGCACCUCACCAUGCCCAGAUAGCUUUAAUUUUUUGAGGGGCCAUAACGAUUUCUUUAAUGGCAGUAAUUACUUUCCUAGUAGCAGUGAAUAAAGUGCUUUUUCCCACAGCCUCACCAGCAUUUGUUAUUUGUUUUCUUGAUCAUAAUCUAUUUAUUAUGUUUGUUUUUUAUUAUAUGUGCAUACACUGAUGUGUGGAGGUCGGAAGACAACCUCCUAGAGUUAGUUCUCUCCUUUACCUUGUAGGCUCUGGACUUUGAACUCCAGUUUGGUGACAAGUGCCCCUAUUGACUGAGCAUCUGCUGGGCCUUUUGAAAUAUUUUCUGGCCAUUGUGUUUCUUCUUUUGAGAAUUAUCUGUUUAUUGCAUUAACUCUUUUAUUGACUGGUAGUUUUGUGGCUCGGGGUUUUUACUUUUUGUAAUUAUAUAUUCUAGAUCUCAAUCCCCUGUCUGGGGCUUAACUGGCAAAGAUUUUCUCCCGUUCUGUAUGUAGGCUGUUUCUUCUGCUGUUGGUUUCUCUGGCUGUGCAGAAGGUUUUUAGUUUCAUGUCCCAUUUGUUGAUUCUUAGGACUAUAUUCUGUUAUUUCACUCCUGUAUAGAAAGUUCUUGCUUAUAUCUGUAACUUCAAGCAUGUUCUUUGUAUCUUCCUGUAAUGUCUUCAGAGUUUGGGGUUUUAAAGUAAGUCUUUUCAUAUGAUUUGAAAUGAUUUUUGUUUAGGAUGAGAGAUACAUUUUUCGGUAUAUAUUUUUGAUGCUUUUGUCAAAAUUAGGUGACCAUAGAAGUGAGUUUAUUUCUGGGUCUUCUGUCUUGGCUCUUUUGGGCUACCUGUUUGUUUUGUGCCAACAUGUAGUUUGUUUUUAUUGCCCAGUGAUAUCCCUUUUUUCUUAAUUCUUUGAAAAAUGUAUGUAGAAUGUUUUAGGUCAUAUUCACCCCUCUCCUCAGUCUUCUCAGGUCCCACCUUCUUUCCCUACCCACCAAACUUGGUGUCACCUUCUUCUUCUUCUUCUUCCUCUUUUUAUAACCCCAGCAAGUAAAGUCAGUGCUGCCUAGAUGUUCUUGGAUUUGUGGCCUUUUACUACAGUAUGAUCAGCCUACUAGGGGCCACACCCUUAGAGAAAACUGACUCCCUCUCUCCCAGCAGCUAUCAACUGCUCCUUAACUAGUGAACUACGAUUGUAAGUCAUACAUUUAAUACCUUCAGCAGUGUUCCUUCCACUAAGGACUGCUUAGGCUGUAUGUUGUCUUUUGUGCUUUUAUAUUGAUUUUUAGAUUUUUUUCUAGUUCUGUGAAGAAUGCCAUUGGAAUUUUGAUGGGAAUUGCAUUGAAUCUGUAGAUUACUUUUAGUAAUAAAAGCCAUUUUUGCACAUAAAUUCUGCUUGUCGACGCUUAGAAAGUCUCUCUGUUGUUUUGUGUCUUCUUUAAGUACCUUACUCUUUUCAUGCCUAGGUCUUUACAUCCUUAGUCCGGAGUACUUUAUUUUGGGGGUAGUUAUUGUGCAUGGAAUGGUUUUCCUAAUUUCUGUCUCAGAAAGCUUGUUGUUGGUAUGUAUAUAUGAGAGCUACUAAUUUUUGAAUGUUGAUUUUGUAUCUUGUAACAUUACUAAAAGUGUUUAUUGAAUGUAAAAGUUUUCUGGUAGAAUAUAUGCAGUUAAUAACUUAUUCUGGUUAUAAUAAUAACAAGAUCAUAUUUUCUGCAAAUAUUGAGUAAUUUCACUUGUUUGCUUUUUUUAAAAUCCUUUUUAUAGCUUUCUCUUACCUUACUGUUCUAGCAAGACUUUCUGCACAACAUUGGGUAAGAAUGUUGAGAGCUGACUUCCAUGUCUCACGGCAAAAUUUAGAGGAAAUAUUUUUAGGUUUUCAUUAUUUAUUAUGAUGUGGCCAUAUGUUUGUCAUAUAUAUUAUUUAUUGUUUUGAGGUAUGUUUCAUUUGUUUAUUUCUCCAGGACUUUUAUCUUGAGGUCAUGUUGAACUGUGGUCAAUACCUUUUCUGUAUCUAUAUAGUAUAUAGAGAUGGCCACGUAUUUCUGUCCUUAAGAUUGUUUAUAUAGAUGACUAGAAGGAUGGAUGGUUCAGCAAUGCUUACUGUUCUUGCAGGAGGACAGAGUGUGGUUUCCAGCACCUGCGUUGGAUGGCUUAAGAGUCUAAUUUCAGCUGCAGGGAGAUCUGGCACGUUUAGCCUUCCUGGGUUCCUGCAUUCACAUGCACAUGCAUACAAGGCCAUGCACAUGCAUAUGCACACACGGUGCCUGUGGUUCUGUAUAACUGCAAGGCAGUCAAUUUUCUAGCAUGGUCAAAAGCAGCUACUGCUCAUGCUGAGGACCCGACUUUUCAUUCCUGGCACCCAUCUCAGGCAGCUUCUAACUAUCUAUAAUACCAGCUCCUGGGGAUCCGACAUCUUUGUCCUCCACUUGGCACCAGCAUUCUUGUGUACAAACUCAUACACAGGUGCAUACACAUAAUUUUUAAAACGGC